rnacentral:rRNA from 1 species
AGAGUUUGAUCAUGGCUCAGAGUGAACGCUGGCGGCGUGCUUAACACAUGCAAGUCGUACGAGAAAGCUUCUGCUUGCAGAGGCGAGUAAAGUGGCGUACGGGUGAGUAACACGUGGGUAAUCUACCCUCGAAUUGGGGAUAACAUUGCGAAAGCGAUGCUAAUACCGAAUGAUAUCCAUGAGUCUUAGGGCUUGUGGAUCAAAGGUGGCCUCUUCUUGAAAGCUACUGUUUGAGGAUGAGCUCGCGUCCCAUUAGCUUGUUGGUGGGGUAAUGGCCUACCAAGGCAACGAUGGGUAGCUGGUCUGAGAGGACGACCAGCCACACUGGAACUGACACACGGUCCAGACUCCUACAGGAGGCAGCAGUGAGGAAUUUUGCGCAAUGGGGGAAACCCUGACGCAGCAACGCCGCGUGAGUGAUGAAGGCCCUUGGGUCGUAAAGCUCUGUCAAGUGGGAAGAACCCGCAAUUGGCUAAUAUCCAUUUGCGUUGACGGUACCACUGAAGGAAGCACCGGCUAACUCCGUGCCAGCAGCCGCGGUAAUACGGGGGGUGCAAGCGUUACUCGGAAUCAUUGGGCGUAAAGGGCGCGCAGGCGGCCUGGUAGGUCAGAUGUGAAAGCCCGGGGCUCAACCCCGGAAGUGCAUUUGAAACCACUUGGCUUGAGUAUGGGAGAGGGAAGUGGAAUUCCUGGUGUAGAGGUGAAAUUCGUAGAUAUCAGGAGGAACACCGGUGGCGAAGGCGACUUCCUGGACCAAUACUGACGCUGAGGCGCGGAGGCGUGGGGAGCAAACAGGAUUAGAUACCCUAGUAGUCC